UACGUAGGGGGCAAGCGUUGUCCGGAUUUAUUGGGCGUAAAGAGCGUGUAGGCGGUCAGGUAGGUCCGUUGUGAAAACUCGAGGCUCAACCUCGAGACGCCGAUGGAAACCAUCUGACUAGAGUCCGGAAGAGGAGAGUGGAAUUCCUGGUGUAGCGGUGAAAUGCGCAGAUAUCAGGAAGAACACCCGUGGCUAAGGCGGCGUCUCUGGGACGGUACUGACGCUGAGACGGCGAAAGCGUGGGGAGCGAACAGG
rnacentral:rRNA from 1 species